rnacentral:rRNA from 1 species
GUGGACGCCAGUCUGCGUGGAGCCGGCCUUGAAAUACCACCCUUUAAUGUUUGAUGUUCUAACGUGGACCCGUGAUCCGGGUUGCGGACAGUGUCUGGUGGGUAGUUUGACUGGGGCGGUCUCCUCCUAAAGAGUAACGGAGGAGCACGAAGGUUGGCUAAUCCUGGUCGGACAUCAGGAGGUUAGUGCAAUGGCAUAAGCGA